rnacentral:lncRNA from 1 species
CCCCGAAUCAAGUCCUUACAUUUUAACCUGCAUUGCUGAGAAAUUCCUUCUCUGGUCUCAGACGAUUCAGCGCAUGCCAAGAAUGCUGGCUCCGUUUAGGAAUUUGAAGAAAACAACCAUUGGUCCGUCUCCUGUUCUUCAGAGCCGCCCAGAGUUCUCUUGCAUUCCCUAACAUCUGGGAUUGCAACGACCAUGCAAAUUGUCCUCGCUCCUCUGCUCUCCGUGCUCCCCACACCCGGCCCCCUCCCUCCUGUCUUCUCAGCUUCUGACAGGUGUUAGCAAGAAUCUAAAGUUCAAAAGUUUCUCCAGGUCAGGAAUCCAGGAGCAGCUCAGCUGGAUGGUUCUGGCUCAGGAUCUCUCAUGAAGCCGGAAUUAGAUAUUGGCUGUGGCUGUGGUCAUCUAAAGGCCUGACGUGGGCUGGCGGCAUCUUUACUACCUGGCUAUUGGCGGGAGGCAGCGUUGCUCACCACGUGGACUCCUCCACGGGGCUGCUUGAGUGUUCUCACAACGUGGCAGCUGGCUUCCCCCCCCGCCCCCCCCAGCAGGCGAUCCAAAAGACAGCAAGGCAGAAGCCGCAGCAUCUUUAUGACGCAGCCCCAGAAGUCAGGCAUCGUCAUUUCCUCAACGUCCUAUUGGUCAUUGGGCGAGCCCUUUUCAGUGUGGGAGGGGCCAUGCAAAGGCGUGAAAAUCAGGAGACGAGAUGCCUGGGGGCCACGUUGGAGGCUGGCUGUGACAGUACUCUUUUCAGUUCCAUUUGCAGAUGAGGAUGUGUGGCCCUAGCUCCCAGCCACCAUGUGGGGAGGAAGCCCAAGCCAACCACGCGGAGAGGCCCAGGUGGAGAGAAACUGAGGCCCGGCCUACAGGCAGUAUCACCCGCCACGUGUGUGAGUGAGGGGGCCUUCGGAUGAUCCAGCCCUCGGCCCUUGAGUCUUGCAGCUGAGGCCUCAGAUAAGGAAGAGCUGAGACAAGCCGUCACGGCUGAUGUGCCCUGCAUGAAUCCCUGACCCACAGCAUUGUGUCAGCCUGCGCGGUUGAGCCCGAGAGCGCCCCAGGCGGAGAAGAGGAGAACUGCAGGUGCGGAGGCGGGCGGUGCUGAGAGGACCGGAAACCGUCUCGCCCGCAGCUGCAGGUAACUGCUGAGUGACCUUGGGUACAUCACUCAACCUCUCUGAUCUCAGAACCUUAUGUUCAAAAUGAAGAUAAUAAUCCCCAUUUCAGAGGGUUGCUUUGAGGAGUAAAAGAGAAUGUUUUAUAAAGUACUUGGAAUGCUACAGUGGCUCCUAACAGGUCCGUUUCUACAGGCAGCCCACCCCAAACUGUGCUCUAUGCGGUAGCUGGGGGAGAGGGGACUUUUAAAAUCAGCUCAGGUCACUGCCUAUUGAAGACCCCUUGAGGUUCCCACGGUUCCUAGACUGAAGCCCAAAGGCAUCCGGAUUUUCCUAAAGUUAUUCAGGCUGUAGAUGGUGUCCAGCACGGAGACCCUUCCCAGGACGCCUCCCAGGGUGAACAGGAUAUCGCUCUUCUACCAACCCAUCUUCUCUCCCGAGGGCCCACUGCUGGGUACCGUAAGCUCUCAAAGUGAAGGAGGAGGGAAAACGCAUAGAGAUUUAAGGCACGAGAAGUAACAAUCCGGUGGAUACCACCAGAUGUAGUCUGAGUCCAUUCCCCUCUCUCCAGCAUCCUCGAUCCUCUCCAUCAUGGCUAGCCCGGUCCAGGCACCACCACUUCUCGUCUGCACGAUUUCCAUAAUCUUCUUGCUGGUCUCCCAGCUUCCACACGAACGCUAACCAGAGCAAAAUUUUUAUUACGGAAAAUUUCAAGAAACAUACAAAAAUGGAGAGAACAGAAUGAUGAACGCGAUUUCAACAAUGAUCGGCUCACGGCCAGUCCAGUUUCACCUGCUCCUCAGCCCCCUGGAAUCGUUCAUUUCUCCUCCCCAGGUUUUUUUUUUCGUUUAUUUCGAAAAUUUUCAGCCUCAGGACAGGGUCGCCUGACUUCUCAUCAGUUCCCCUGCAGAUGGACGGUCUGUUGUGGCAUAGACUUUAUUCCAAGCUUCCUUCAAGGAUUUGCUCUUGAAUCCAGAGUUUUGAUACCCAAAACCAAAGUUGAGACCUUUAAAAAAAAAGUCUCCUUUUGCAAAUCUUGCAAAUCGAAAGCCUUGGCUUUCAAGAUGAUCAUCUCUGCCGUGAAUUUCAAAAGCCUGCCUAGGAACUCAUAAAAGCCAAGAAUUUGCCUCUUUGGGGGUUUCUGUUUUAGAAUUGGGUUAGAUCAAGCCUCUCCCAGCGGUGUAACCAGAAGGACUCAGGCCUCAGCCUCAGUACUUGGUUUUGUGGAGAGAGGGGUCACAGGGUUUCUUUAAAAAGGGGAACAGACGUAGCGUUACUGCAUGUGCAAAAAAUAUUACCCAUUGCUAUUUUUAUUGUUGUUAAAAUAAUAAUUUUAGCGGAUGUAAAUAAUUUCUCAGAAUGGGCACAGAGGUGACAGCUCAACCCUGUUUUUCCAUAUGGUUUUAAGCUCUUCCAUUACCAUUUCUCCUGACGUAAACUUUCUCAAGACCCGAACUUCCAAGUUUGAAGGGGUUAUUUUCCCUUUAAUACGUCAAUAUCCUAGGUGUUUCUGCAGCAGCAGCUUCCCAUGGCUGUGCUCCAGUGCACGCUUGCAAAUCCGCAUCCUGGAUGUCACUUAAAGUCCCGUGUCAUUUGAAAGUCUGACACUCUUGCUUCACCUUGCAUCAUCGGAUUUCCAUGGUCAUAAGCACUGGCAUUCAUGUCGAAGUUAGUCACCCGAAAAAAAAAAAAAAAAAAAAAAAAAAAAGUGAGAUUUUUCUUUUCGCACAAAUCCACUGAAAUCUUCUAAUAUUUUUCAACACUGGGAGGUUCCUAGAACCAGGACUUGCCCAGACAGGAUAAUUCAGACCUAGGCAUGAUACAGACAAACUGAAGGGGAUGGAAGGAUGGUUAGUGGUGAGAGCCACUUACUGAGAAUAGAACUGUGGGUGUUUAUCCUCGGCCCAGCCAACAGCUUCCCUGGUGACCCGCCGUGCCACAGCUGGGCUCAAUUUCCAAAUGGGCGGUUUUCCUGGUGACAGAACCAGAAUCACCCGUGUCUUUACAGCCAGAAGUAAGAACACUUGCUUUUUUUUAAAGUGGCCCAAAUUGUCACCUUUGCGUGUAUCCUGAUUUUUUUAAAUAAACUUUCAGUGUUAGAACAGUUUUAGAUUUACAGAAUAGUUGAAAAGACAGUAAGAGAUUUCCCAUAUUCUCCACACUGUCUUUCCUCUGUGAUUUUCCUGUAUUAUAACAUCUUACAUGAUUACCAUAUAUCUGUAACGAUUAAUGAGCCAAUAUCGACACCUUCUGAUUAUCAAAAGUCUACACUGUGUUCAGAUUCCCUUAGUUUUUACUAAGGCACUUUUCCUCUUCCAGAAUCCCAUCCGGGACCCAGGACAUUCAGG